GACGAACGCUGGCGGCGUGCCUAAUACAUGCAAGUGGGACGCAAGGGAACACACUGUGCUUGCACACCGUGCUUUCUUGAGUCGCGAACGGGUGAGUAACGCGUAGGUAACCUGCCUAUUAGCGGGGGAUAACUAUUGGAAACGAUAGCUAAUACCGCAUAAUAUUAAUUAUUGCAUGAUAAUUGAUUGAAAGAUGCAAGCGCAUCACUAGUAGAUGGACCUGCGUUGUAUUAGCUAGUUGGUAAGGUAAGAGCUUACCAAGGCGACGAUACAUAGCCGACCUGAGAGGGUGAUCGGCCACACUGGGACUGAGACACGGCCCAGACUCCUACGGGAGGCAGCAGUAGGGAAUCUUCGGCAAUGGACGAAAGUCCGACCGAGCAACGCCGCGUGAGUGAAGAAGGUUUUCGGAUCGUAAAGCUCUGUUGUAAGUCAAGAACGUGUGUGAGAGUGGAAAGUUCACACAGUGACGGAGCUACCAGAAAG
rnacentral:rRNA from 1 species